CAGAAAUGACUGCUAAUACCGCAUAAGACCACAGCACCGCAUGGUGCAGGGGUAAAAACUCCGGAUGGUACAGGAUGGACCCGCGUCUGAUUAGCUGGUUGGUGAGGUAACGGCUCACCAAGGCGACGAUCAGUAGCCGGCUUGAGAGAGUGAACGGCCACAUUGGGACUGAGACACGGCCCAAACUCCUACGGGAGGCAGCAGUGGGGAAUAUUGCACAAUGGGGGGAACCCUGAUGCAGCGACGCCGCGUGAGUGAAGAAGUAUCUCGGUAUGUAAAGCUCUAUCAGCAGGGAAGAAAAUGACGGUACCUGACUAAGAAGCCCCGGCUAACUACGUGCCAGCAGCCGCGGUAAUACGUAGGGGGCAAGCGUUAUCCGGAAUUACUGGGUGUAAAGGGUGCGUAGGUGGUAUGGCAAGUCAGAAGUGAAAACCCGGGCUUAACUCUGGGACUGCUUUUGAAACUGUCAGACUGGAGUGCAGGAGAGGUAAGCGGAAUUCCUAGUGUAGCGGUGAAAUGCGUAGAUAUUAGGAGGAACAUCAGUGGCGAAGGCGGC
rnacentral:rRNA from 1 species